AGUGAACGCUGGCGGUAGGCCUAACACAUGCAAGUCGAACGGCAGCACAGUAAGAGCUUGCUCUUACGGGUGGCGAGUGGCGGACGGGUGAGGAAUACAUCGGAAUCUACUUUUUCGUGGGGGAUAACGUAGGGAAACUUACGCUAAUACCGCAUACGACCUACGGGGGAAAGCAGGGGAUCGUCGGACCUUGCGCGAAUGAAUGAGCCGAUGUCGGAUUAGCUAGUUGGCGGGGUAAAGGCCCACCAAGGCGACGAUCCGUAGCUGGUCUGAGAGGAUGAUCAGCCACACUGGAACUGAGCCACGGUCCAGACUCCUACGGGAGGCAGCAGUGGGGAAUAUUAGACAAUGGGCGCAAGCCUGAUCCAGCCAUACCGCGUGGGUGAAGAAGGCCUUCGGGUUGUAAAGCCCUUUUGUUGGGAAAGAAAAGCAGCAGGUUAAUACCCCGCUGUUCUGACGGUACCCAAAGAAUAAGCACCGGCUAACUUCGUG
rnacentral:rRNA from 1 species